ensembl:lncRNA
CCAGGGGCAACAGAGAGAGAGAUAAGCUGCUUCUAAUGGCCGGGAAACGGUCUUUUUGUGUGGACUUAUCUCAAGGAAAAUGGCCAUCUCAGGAGGUAUGCACAUGACUCUUGCUCAAGCACCCAGGAAUGUCACGUAGGCAGCAGAAAAUGGAGGAUAAAAGAGGGUCCAACAACCACGGCGUCGUGGAGGCUGAUCUCUCAGCGCAACACGGAGGCUGAUCUCUCAUGAUCUCUCACCACGACACGAGCUUUCUGCCUUCAGAUCCUUCUCUACCGACCGUUUGCUGACGGACUUCCCUGGGCCUGCUACCUGAGACCUGCUGCUUCCUCCCUGACCUGCACCCUCUCGUUGCCCAAGACCGGCCUCACUGCUCCUGCCUUUCGGCCUCGGACCAUCGGAACGUCGUGCAACGGGACUGCUGCUGGAUCCUGGUGUGGAAAGAAAUUUCAUCUGUACAAUUUACUACACACAUUUAUGGUCCUUUUUGAAGGAAGGAAAGCACAAGGCACAAGGCAAAGAAUUUUGCAAGUGCAAAAUAAAUGUUGCUGAAUGAAGGAGAAUGGAGAAAAAUAUACUGCUUUGAGGCAUUUAGUGAAUCGUGUUUAAAUAUCACAGAAUCACAGAAUUGCAGUGGUUGGAAGAAACCUCCAGAGAUCAACAAGUCCAAAAAAAACUGCAGAGAUACAAAGCUGCACAGCUCUCCAGUCUGUCCAGAUCUUGCUGAAUGGCAACACAGCCUUCAGGUGUGUCAGCCACUCCUCCCAGCUUUGUAUCAUCGGCAUACUAACUAGGGGUGGACACUCUCCCAUCAUCAAGGUCAUCGAUGAAGAUACUGAACGAGACCGGACCCAGCACUGACCCCUGGGGAACACUGCUAGUCACAGGUCUCCAACCAGACUGUACCACUGAUCACAAUCCUCUGAACUUAGCCAGUCAGCCCGUUCUCAACCCACCUCACUGUCCACUCAUCUAUACCACACUUUCUCAGCUUCAUUAUCAGAAUGUCAUGGGACACAGUAUCAAAAGCCCUUCUGAAGUCAAGGUAGAUGGCAUCCACUGCUCUCCCCACAUCUACCCAGCUGGUGAUGCCAUUGUAGAGGGCUACAAUGUUGUUCAAGCAUGAUUUUCCCUUAGUGAAUCCAUGCUGACUAUUCCUGAUAACCUUCUUCUUUACCAAUUGCUUGGAGAUGGCACUUUUCCAGGGACAGAGAUGAGGCUGACUGGCCCAUAGUUUCCCGGAUCCUCCUUCUUUCCCAUUUUGAAGACCUUGACAUUGGCUAUUCGAGUCUCCACACACCUCUCCUGUUCUCCAAGACCUGUCAAAGAUGACAGAAAGCAGUUUGGCAAUAUCCUCUGCCAGCUACCUCAGCACACAUGGAUGCAUGCCAUCAGGGCCCAUGUAUUUGUGCACAGUGAUCCCACUUAGAUGCUCCUGGACCACCCCCUCCUUGGUGUAUAUCUCUUUUCAGAAAAGCACUGAUAAAAAGAUUUGCAUGAGCAUGAAGAAAUUAUAACAUUUUUCCAUGGGCUAGGAAUCCACCUUUCAAAACCAUUAUUAUUCUUGGAAGAUUCAUUAUAUCAUGCGCUGAAAAUGUUUCACAGUUUAGUAUUGGCAACUCUGAGAGACUUAUACUAACCAAUGUUGAUGAAAUGUUCUUAAAAUUAUUCAGAGAAGAAUUAGAUCUCAAAUUUAUUUUCCUUUUGUUCUAAGUGUAAAUAUAUUUUUUAUUGUUUUCCAGUUGUUUCCUAUCUUUACAUAAAUAUUGUAAAAGACAUUUUUACUUGUUGCUAUAAGGGGCUUCGUUUUCUUCUCUCAAAUUUCCUAACGUUCUGAAGAAAAGAAAACAGAAAAGAGAGUGCUCCUGGCACUUCUAAUUAUAGGAUAAUUCGAAUGUCAUUGAAGGGAAAGGGAAUGUCCAAAUAGUGAUGACAGAACAAGAAAGGUAGACAACUGACCUUGAUUACAACCUAGAAUUGUCACUCAACAUUACAGAAAUCUUUAGGAACUGUUGUUUCAUAAAUUAUUUCUGACAUUUACAAUAAAUAUUGAAUUAGAUCUCCUGAGGUGUUUGUAAAGCAAAAAGAAAAUGUCUUUGAAGUAACAAGACAAAAUCGUACUUAUUGUGGUUCUAAUAAACCCUCAAGUAGCAUUAAUAUGAUUGUUUACAUCUGCACCAAAUUCACAUAGGUUCAUGUAUUUAUAUAGAUUUCUAUUCUCUUCCUUGUGAUUUUCCUUGCUAUUUGGAAGAGUGUUAAUACACUGAUUUGUAGAUUUUGAGCCUUUAUGUUCUUCUCUUUAGUCUUACCUAUACUCAGAUGUUU